rnacentral:rRNA from 1 species
UACGAAGGGGGCUAGCGUUGUUCGGAAUUACUGGGCGUAAAGCGCGCGCAGGCGGUCUUCCAAGUCAGUGGUGAAAGCCCGGAGCUCAACUCCGGAACUGCCAUUGAAACUGUAAGACUUGAGGAUGAGAGAGGUGAGUGGAAUUCCCAGUGUAGAGGUGAAAUUCGUAGAUAUCGGGAGGAACACCAGUGGCGAAGGCGGCGACCUGGACGGACACUGACGCUGAGGCGCGAAAGCCAGGGGAGCAAACGGG